rfam:Aspergillus aculeatus ATCC 16872 unplaced genomic scaffold ASPACscaffold_2, whole genome shotgun sequence.
GGCAAGAUGGCCGAGUUGGUCUAAGGCGUCAGGUUAAGGUUACCUUAGCAUUCAGCUUCUACAAAGCUUCCUGAUCAUCGUUUGAUGGCGUGGGUUCGAAUCCCACUCUUGUCA